AACCCAAUCUAAUUGGUCACAAUGAUUGCCUCAGAGAUGGCCAAAUGACCUAUUCAGAGCCAUGGAGACACAAUGAGACCUUUGCUGGGAAGUCUGGGGCCGAGUCUCCUGCCUACUGCUGACUUUGGUGGAAGAGAUGAGAGCCUGAAGCUUCUGUACCUACCCUCUCUGCAGAAGCUGAGCCAGGAUGAAGAGGGACAGUGCCUGAUGGCAUCAUUAGAGCCUUCUCUUCUUUCCUUGGACUUUUCAUUCCACUGUGAAAGUUUAUACCACUCAACACUUGCAUGCAUGUGAACAUGCAGAUAUUGGGGAUUCCAACAGUCCGGGAGAGGAGAGUUUCUGAG
rnacentral:lncRNA from 1 species